rnacentral:rRNA from 1 species
CAGGACGAACGCUGGCGGCGUGCCUAACACAUGCAAGUCGAGCGAGAAUCUUUUAAUUGAUUUCUUCGGAAUGAUUUUAGAAGAGGAAAGCGGCGGACGGGUGAGUAACGCGUGAGUAACCUGCCUUCAGGGAGGGGGACAACAUUCCGAAAGGGAUGCUAAUACCGCAUAACAUAUUAUUUGAGGCAUCUCAGAUAUAUCAAAGAUUUUAUCGCCUGAAGAUGGACUCGCGUCUGAUUAGAUAGUUGGUGGGGUAACGGCCUACCAAGUCGACGAUCAGUAGCCGAACUGAGAGGUUGAUCGGCCACAGUUGGGACUGAGACACCGGCCCAGACUCCGUACGGGAGGCAGCAGGUGGGGGAUAUUGCGCAAUGGGGGCAACCCUGACGCAGCAACGCCGCGUGAAGGAAGAAGGUUUUCGGAUUGUAAACCUCUGUCUUCAGGGACGAUACUGACGGUACCUGAGGAGGAAGCUCCGGCUAACUACGUG